rnacentral:rRNA from 1 species
UGAACGCUGGCGGCGUGCCUAAUACAUGCAAGUCGAACGAACUUCCGUUAAUUGAUUAUGACGUACUUGUACUGAUUGAGAUUUUAACACGAAGUGAGUGGCGAACGGGUGAGUAACACGUGGGUAACCUGCCCAGAAGUAGGGGAUAACACCUGGAAACAGAUGCUAAUACCGUAUAACAGAGAAAACCGCAUGGUUUUCUUUUAAAAGAUGGCUCUGCUAUCACUUCUGGAUGGACCCGCGGCGUAUUAGCUAGUUGGUGAGGUAAAGGCUCACCAAGGCAGUGAUACGUAGCCGACCUGAGAGGGUAAUCGGCCACAUUGGGACUGAGACACGGCCCAGACUCCUACGGGAGGCAGCAGUAGGGAAUCUUCCACAAUGGACGCAAGUCUGAUGGAGCAACGCCGCGUGAGUGAAGAAGGGUUUCGGCUCGUAAAGCUCUGUUGUUAAAGAAGAACGUGGGUAAGAGUAACUGUUUACCCAGUGACGGUAUUUAACCAGAAAGCCACGGCUAACUACGUGCCAGCAGCCGCGGUAAUACGUAGGUGGCAAGCGUUAUCCGGAUUUAUUGGGCGUAAAGCGAGCGCAGGCGGUCUUUUAAGUCUAAUGUGAAAGCCUUCGGCUCAACCGAAGAAGUGCAUUGGAAACUGGGAGACUUGAGUGCAGAAGAGGACAGUGGAACUCCAUGUGUAGCGGUGAAAUGCGUAGAUAUAUGGAAGAACACCAGUGGCGAAGGCGGCUGUCUGGUCUGCAACUGACGCUGAGGCUCGAAAGCAUGGGUAGCGAACAGGAUUAGAUACCCUGGUAGUCCAUGCCGUAAACGAUGAUUACUAAGUGUUGGAGGGUUUCCGCCCUUCAGUGCUGCAGCUAACGCAUUAAGUAAUCCGCCUGGGGAGUACGACCGCAAGGUUGAAACUCAAAAGAAUUGACGGGGGCCCGCACAAGCGGUGGAGCAUGUGGUUUAAUU